AUACGGAGGGUGCAAGCGUUGUUCGGAAUCACUGGGCGUAAAGGGCGCGCAGGCGGUCUGGUAAGUCAGAUGUGAAAGCCCACGGCUCAACCGUGGAAGUGCAUUUGAAACUGCCAGACUUGAGUACCAGAGGGGAAAGUGGAAUUCCCGGUGUAGAGGUGAAAUUCGUAGAUAUCGGGAGGAAUACCGGUGGCGAAGGCGACUUUCUGGCUGGAUUCUGACGCUGAGGCGCGAAAGCGUGGGGAGCAGACAGGAUUAGAAACCCCAGUAGUCC
rnacentral:rRNA from 1 species